UGUAAUACCCCAUGAAAAAAAAAAGAGAAAAAAAAAAAAGGAAAGAGAGAUGGGCCGGCCCGAAAAGACCGGGCCCAUCCCUCUUUAUACGAUCGUGCCCUAGGCACGAUCGUGGAUGAAGAGAGGAGAAAGGGGAGGGGAGAGCGGCGGCGGCGUGAGCUGAUCGCCGGAGGAGACGAGCGCCGGAGAGGAUCCGGCCGGCCGUGGGGGAAGCUCCACAGCUUCCUUUCCUUCGGUGAAGACCAUCCACAAACCGGGAGAAGAAAGAAGCCGAGCUCGAUUCCUCCGAUUCCUCGCCGGAAAGGCCGCCGGAACACCCAUCGGACUGAGGGGAGGAGUCAGCGGUGCCAGGAGAUUUUGACCAGGGGACUCAGCACCCCAGCUUGUAGCUUGUGAUUCGGACCGUGUUUGAGUCAGUCGACAAUUUCUAGGCACUGGAUUCGUAGAAUCUGUCGGAUGGGACAAGAAGUGAGCUCGAUCUGGAGUCAGACUGCUAGAUAGUUAGAAGUCAAUUUAUCUUUUAUUUAUGGACAUUUGAAAUUAUGUAAUAAAUCAGUACAUUGUAGCUGGAUUAGAUUGAAUUACAUCAAUCUUUGAUUUUGGCAUUUA